GAUGAACGCUGGCGGCGUGCUUAACACAUGCAAGUCGAACGGAAAGGCCCGAGCUUGCUUGGGUCCUCGAGUGGCGAACGGGUGAGUAACACGUGGGUGAUCUGCCCUGCACUUCGGGAUAAGCCUGGGAAACUGGGUCUAAUACCGGAUAGGACGAUGGUUUGGAUGCCAUUGUGGAAAGGUUUUGCGGUGUGGGAUGAGCUCGCGGCCUAUCAGCUUGUUGGUGGGGUAAUGGCCUACCAAGGCGUCGACGGGUAGCCGGCCUGAGAGGGUGGAGGGCCGCACUGGGACUGAGAUACGGGCCAGACUCCGACAGGAGGCAGAAGUGGGGAAUAUUGGACAAUGCGCGCAAGCCUGAUGCAGCGACGCCGCGUGGGGGAUGACGGCCUUCGGGUUGUAAACUCCUUUCGCUAGGGACGAAGCGUUCUUGUGACGGUACCUGGAGAAGAAGCACCGGCUAACUACGUG
rnacentral:rRNA from 1 species